GGAUCCAGCAGCAGUUUGGACAGAGCCACUAUCUGAGGUGUGCGGUCCCAGCCAUCAGAACAAUGCACCAGAACAGGCAUGCUGUCUCGAUCCACCGUGUUUACUACUAACAGAGACGCCUUCAGCAGGAGAGACAGGUGCUGCAGCCACUUAGUGCCCUCAAGAGCAGACAGCCAACUGAAAAAGGCAAAUAAGGAAAGGUGCAGCUGAACCAAGUCUCGACACUCCACGCUCUCUAUCAAUUGCAGAGGAACCUGACAAACAGCAAUAUGGAUUUAGACGAUAAAGAAUAGAAAAUCUGGACUUUCAGCUUCUGGACUGGGCUGCUCCUCUUCACCCUGCCAAACACACCCAGUUAAACUAGCACAUAGUUAUUGUUUGCAAAACGAGUUCU